UACGAAGGGAGCUAGCGUUGUCCGGAAUUACUGGGCGUAAAGCGCACGUAGGCGGGCUCUUAAGUCAGGGGUGAAAUCCCGUGGCUCAACCUCGGGACUGCCUUUGAUACUGCGUGCCUCGAGGGUGGGAGAGGUGAGUGGAAUUCCCAGUGUAGCGGUGAAAUUCGUAGAUACUAGGAAGAACACCGGUGGCGAAAGCGUCCUACUGGCCCGAAUCUGACGCUGAGGUGCGAAAGCGUGGGGAGCGAACAGG
rnacentral:rRNA from 1 species